UACGUAGGGGGCUAGCGUUGUCGGAAUCAUUGGGCGUAAAGCGCGUGUAGGCGGUCCGGUAAGUCCGCUGUGAAAGUCGGGGGCUCAACCCUCGGAUGCCGGUGGAUACUGUCGGGCUUGAGUACGGAAGAGGCGAGUGGAAUUCCUGGUGUAGCGGUGAAAUGCGCAGAUAUCAGGAGGAACACCAAUUGCGAAGGCAGCUCGCUGGGACGUUACUGACGCUGAGACGCGAAAGCGUGGGGAGAAAACAGG
rnacentral:rRNA from 1 species